rnacentral:rRNA from 1 species
AGGGAAUCUUCCGCAAUGGACGAAAGUCUGACGGAGCAACGCCGCGUGAGUGAUGAAGGUUUUCGGAUCGUAAAGCUCUGUUGCCAGGGAAGAACGUCCUGUAGAGUAACUGCUACAGGAGUGACGGUACCUGAGAAGAAAGCCCCGGCUAACUACGUGCCAGCAGCCGCGGUAAUACGUAGGGGGCGAGCGUUGUCCGGAAUUAUUGGGCGUAAAGCGCGCGCAGGCGGCUGUUUAAGUCUGGUGUUUAAGCCUGGGGCUCAACCUAGGGUCGCACUGGAAACUGGACAGCUUGAGUGCAGAAGAGGAGAGUGGAAUUCCACGUGUAGCGGUGAAAUGCGUAGAGAUGUGGAGGAACACCAGUGGCGAAGGCGACUCUCUGGGCUGUAACUGACGCUGAGGCGCGAAAGCGUGGGGAGCAAAC